GAUGAACGCUAGCUACAGGCUUAACACAUGCAAGUCGAGGGGAAACGACAUCGAAAGCUUGCUUUUGAUGGGCGUCGACCGGCGCACGGGUGAGUAACGCGUAUCCAACCUGCCCAUCACUUGGGAAUAACCUUGCGAAAGUAAGACUAAUACCCAAUGACAUCCCACGAAGACAUCUGAAUGGGAUUAAAGAUUUAUCGGUGAUGGAUGGGGAUGCGUCUGAUUAGCUUGUUGGCGGGGUAACGGCCCACCAAGGCAACGAUCAGUAGGGGUUCUGAGAGGAAGGUCCCCCACAUUGGGACCAAGACACGGUCCAAACUCCUACGGGAGGCAGCAGUGAGGAAUAUUGGUCAAUGGGCGAGAGCCUGAACCAGCCAAGUAGCGUGCAGGAUGACGGCCCUAUGGGUUGUAAACUGCUUUUAUAAGGGAAUAAAGUGGGUCUCGUGAGACUUUUUGCAUGUACCUUAUGAAUAAGGACCGGCUAAUUCCGUG
rnacentral:rRNA from 1 species